CUCAGUUCGGAUUGGAGUCUGCAACCCGACUCCAUGAAGCUGGAUUCGCUAGUAAUCGCGCAUCAGCCACGGCGCGGUGAAUACGUUCCCGGGCCUUGUACACACCGCCCGUCAAGCCAUGGAAGCCGGGGGGUGCCUGAAGUGCGCUGCCGCAAGGAGCGCCCUAGGGUAAAACCGGUGACUGGGGCUAAGUCGUAACAAGGUACC
rnacentral:rRNA from 1 species